AAGGCGGAAUCUGAAAAGCCCAUAACAGAGUAAGAA
rfam:Spinacia oleracea cultivar SynViroflay scaffold77772.con0018.1, whole genome shotgun sequence.